rnacentral:misc_RNA from 1 species
CUGAGUUUUCAACUCUCCAAACCAUGUGAACUUACCACUGUUGCCUCGGUGGUUUGGUCUUCGGGCCUGACCACCGGCUGGACUACUAAACUCUUGUUAAUUUUUGGCAUUCUGAAUCAUAACUAAGAAAUAAGUUA